CGGGAACUGCCCUCGCUUCCUGGCUCUGAUCAGGGUGAAGAGAGGCACCCAGAAGUGGGCCUGCAGGCCAGCGCCCUGAGGACAGGUGGCCGUGGAUUCUGGCUGGGCUGCAGGGGUGGCCCCACCCAGGGCUCCGAGGAGGCUGCCAGAGGAGGACCUGGAGGGCUGGGGGUGGCUUCCUGGUCGGGGUGGGGCUGUGACAUUGAUGGGGGCAAUGCCCCUGCCCUUUGCUGGGCUGCUGGGCUUCUUAGCCGUGGCAAGCACUGUCCCUUUCUGGCCGCCACCCCGCCAAGACUCCCUGAAAACGCGGCUGCACCCCAGGGCCCUGCCCCUUGCUCCACGGCCUCCGCACAGGUGGCCCGGACCCGGGUGCACACAUCCUGCUCACCGUGGGAGCCGCGGCGUGCCUGGUGUCCUCACACAGCCGGGACUGGACGGGCUGUGUAUCCAGGACUUCACAAAUAAAUUCAUGGAAGAAUCGUUGACAUGCAGUAAACUACAGUCUGGAAGGUCCACUUCAGCAGAGAACUUGGGAUUUAGAAUAGCCACUGGAUUGGAGGAGCUGUUUGUUACACAGCACUAUCAGAGCAGAAACCUGACUAAGCCACAUGGAUAACACUAGUGCUCACUUAUGAGUUUGAGGAUCAAAUGAUAUAGUAUAUUUUAAGGAUGAUAUCCACCUAUUGUGUACCUGAUACUCACCUGGCACCUGGGGGACAGAGCAGCUUGAGGUCAGACAACCUGUUCCCGGUUGGAAUCACACAUGCAGCUGUGGGACAUGGGGCCACCUGUGUCCCUGUGGAAGGCCCUGGAUUCUUGUGUGUGAGACCUCUUGGGGGUAGAUUGGAUAUUAUUCCCAAAUUUUCAUCCUUGAAUUUUGCACUUAUGUUUGCCAAAUGACUUGCAAUGCCUGGGACUGGGGAAGAAGGCCCAGUGCCCCUCACCUCUCCCAUUGAAGCAUGGUCUGGCUACGUGACUUAGGACACUAUCUUAAAAACAUAAUCUUGGACAAUGGUUGGGAUUUUGGCCUGGUCUGCUAUGUGCUGCAAGACCAAUGUGUCCCAAGAAAUGGAUGGUCCCCAGAUAGACUCAUGGAGCUGAAUAAAUCUGUCCUGUGGCCUGGAGCUAAAUUGAGUCAACGCACAGAAUGAAGCAAAGUCACUCCAGCUGACCUGCAGAACUGUGAGAUGAAAACAAAUGUGACAGGGCUGGGAUCCAGCUCAGUUGGUAAAGUGCCUGCCUCGCAUGCACAAGGCCCUGGGUUCAAUCCCCAGCACCACACACACAGAACAAAGCAAACAACCACAACAAAAGGAAAAUAAAUGCGACAGGCCCUGGAUUGGUGGAGCUGUUUGUUACACAGCACUAUCAGAGCAGAAACCUGACUAAGCCACAUGGAUAACACUAGUGCUCACUUAUGAGAUUGAAAAUCAAAUGAUAUAGUAUAUUUUAAGGAUAAUAUCCAUAUACAGAUAUACAGCUCACAACCUGGUCAUAGAAUGGAAACCUCUCAACAUUGAGACCCUGAAGUCCCUCUAGAUUCCCCAUCCCCAUCCUGCCAUCCUGUCCAUCCUGAGGACUCUCUUGGCCUGAUGCAGGACCACUGUCCUGGGCGGAGCUUUGGGGAUUAAAGUGUUUGGGGGGAUUAACGGAGAGACCCAUAAGUCCCAGCAGGAGCACGUAGAGGGGUGUGCUUACACCAGGGUCCCCACAGCACAAGAAUUCCCUCUUGCUCUGUGCGUCCUCUUUAGCCUCCAGUUUUCUAGUCCUUAGCACCACCUGCAAUUUUCCAGGUUG
rnacentral:lncRNA from 1 species